GAAAUUAAUAUAGUUGGUCUAACCCUGAGGUUACAAACCUUUUUAAUCACUCUAAGACUGCUGCAAUUCAUCUUCAAUAGGA
rnacentral:misc_RNA from 1 species